UACGUAGGUGGCAAGCGUUGUCCGGAUUUACUGGGCGUAAAGAGCGCGCAGGCGGUCGUUCAAGUCGCGUGUGAAAGCCCCCGGCUCAACUGGGGAGGGUCACUCGAUACUGAUCGACUCGAAGGCAGAAGAGGGAAGCGGAAUUCCCGGUGUAGUGGUGAAAUGCGUAGAUAUCUGGAGGAACACCGGUGGCGAAGGCGGCAUCCUGGACCAACACUGACGCUGAGUGAGCGAAAGCCAGGGGAGCAAACGGG
rnacentral:rRNA from 1 species